rnacentral:rRNA from 1 species
GAUGAACGCUGGCGGCGUGCCUAAUACAUGCAAGUCGAGCGAACAGAUGAGGAGCUUGCUCCUCUGACGUUAGCGGCGGACGGGUGAGUAACACGUGGAUAACCUACCUAUAAGACUGGGAUAACUUCGGGAAACCGGAGCUAAUACCGGAUAAUAUAUUGAACCGCAUGGUUCAAUAGUGAAAGACGGUUUUGCUGUCACUUAUAGAUGGAUCCGCGCCGCAUUAGCUAGUUGGUAAGGUAACGGCUUACCAAGGCAACGAUGCGUAGCCGACCUGAGAGGGUGAUCGGCAACACUGGAACUGAGACACGGUCCAGACUCCUACGGGAGGCAGCAGUAGGGAAUCUUCCGCAAUGGGCGAAAGCUUGCCGGAGCAACGCCGCGUGAGUGAUGAAGGUCUUCGGAUCGUAAAACUCUGUUAUUAGGGAAGAACAAAUGUGUAAGUAACUAUGCACGUCUUGACGGUACCUAAUCAGAAAGCCACGGCUAACUACGUG